AUUCUGGGAGCCCACCCCAGGACAAUGGCAGGGCAAAACCAGUGAGCAAGGCAGAAAAUUCCUGAAAUUCUCCACUGAGGCCCAGCUGUUCCUCUCCUUGAAAAGUCAAGGCUUGGCUCAAGCCAGAUAGCACCUGAGGACAGAACAUAUCAGGAGCCAAGUUACACCCUGUUUAACCCUGCCUUCAAAGGGACGACUCUGUAAGAUUCUCUGCUACUUAUUCAAGGUGACACGAUGCCCUUCACACUCCACCUGAGGUCCCGCCUUCCCUCUGCCAUAAGGAGUUUGAUUCUACAAAAGAAACCAAACAUCAGAAAUAUAUCCAGCAUGGCUGGAGAGCUCCGACCAGCCAGCCUGGUGGUCCUGCCCAGGUCCCUUGCUCCAGCUUUUGAAAGAUUCUGCCAGGCCAACACUGGUCCUCUACCCCUGCUGGGCCAGAGUGAGCCAGAAAAGUGGAUGCUGCCCCCUCAAGGUGCUAUCUCAGAGACCAGAGACCCCACUGGCUUUUGCCAGCAUCCCAGGCUGCACAGUUAUGACUGACCUGAAGGAUGCAAA
rnacentral:sRNA from 1 species